rnacentral:rRNA from 1 species
GAUGAACGCUGACAGAAUGCUUAACACAUCAGCAAUUGAUUGGUGGCGGACGGGUGCGUAACGCGUACAGAACUUGCCUCUCAGCUAGGGACAACAUUUAGAAACGAAUGCUAAUACCUAAUACUGUGAGAGAGCUUUGCGUCCCAUUAGCUAGUUGGGGGGGUAACGGCUCACCAAGGCGAUGAUGGGUAGCCGGCCUGAGAGGGUGAGCGGCCACAAGGGGUCUGAGACACGGCCCUUACGCCUACGGGAGGCAGGAGUGGGGAAUAUUGGACAACGGACGAAAGUCUGAUCCAGCAAUUGUGUGUGAACGAUGAAGUUUUCGGAAUGUAAAGUGCUUUCAGUUGGGAAGCGGUACCAACAGAAGAAGCGACGGCUAAAUACGUGCCAGCAGCCGCGGUAAUAC